rnacentral:rRNA from 1 species
AUUGAACGCUGGCGGAAUGCUUUACACAUGCAAGUCGAACGGCAGCACGGACUUCGGUCUGGUGGCGAGUGGCGAACGGGUGAGUAAAUGUAUCGGAACGUGCCCAGUCGUGGGGGAUAACGUAGUGAAAAUUACGCUAAUACCGCAUACGAUCUAUGGAUGAAAGCGGGGGAUCGCAAGACCUCGCGCGAUUGGAGCGGCCGAUAUCAGAUUAGGUAGUUGGUGGGGUAAAGGCCCACCAAGCCAACGAUCUGUAGCUGGUCUGAGAGGACGACCAGCCACACUGGAACUGAGACACGGUCCAGACUCCUACGGGAGGCAGCAGUGGGGAAUUUUGGACAAUGGGCGAAAGCCUGAUCCAGCCAUUCCGCGUGCAGGAUGAAGGCCCUCGGGUUGUAAACUGCUUUUGUACAGAACGAAAAGGUUUCUACUAAUACUAGGAGCUCAUGACGGUACUGUAAGAUUAAGCACCGGCUAACUACGUGCCAGCAGCCGCCGUAA